rnacentral:rRNA from 1 species
AUGAAGAACGUAGCAAAAUGCGAUACUUGGUGUGAAUUGCAGAAUCCCGUGAACCAUCGAGUCUUUGAACGCAAGUUGCGCCCGGAGCUGAGAGGCCGAGGGCACGCC